rnacentral:lncRNA from 1 species
GGCGCAGGGGCUGGGCUUGCAUGGGCAUGUUGGAAGAUAUGCGGAUUGCCUGAUUUGAUUUGAUCUUAAUUGAUCAUGAUUAAUCACGAUCUUCAUGUAUAUGUAAAUUAAAAAUUAGAUCUAGAUCUCGAUUGAUAAUCCAGAUCAUUUACUUCCUUAUUCAAGAUAGAGCUUGUAUUAUAUCUCUGCAAAAUUGUACAUUCAGAUUGUAAUAGUGAUAAUACAGAAAAAUCUCCCCACAUCGAUUCCCAUUUUCCUCUCCAAACUUCAUCCGUUCUUCCUUCACUCUUGCCUUCUUUCAUGGUAUCAGAGCAGCUUUGAUCUCUGACUCGCUUCCGUUCCAAACCACUGCUGAAGAAAAUUCUCAACCUGCAAAAGGGUUGAUCUUUCGGCAUUAGGCAUACUCUCGAAGGAAGAAAUUUAAAUUAUCUUACUAUGGCCUCUCCGCAGGACUCCAGUCUGGCUGCUGACGACAGGACCACCGAAGAAAGUAGUCCUCAAGCUCCACAGAUCCAGAAUCUCCCUGCAGUAAUACCAGUAUCCACCCAACCCCAGCAGUGGCGGCCCACGCAGGCUCAGUUUCAAUUGGGGCAACCCACGACGGGUCAACCAUACUAGUGGAUCCCCUAUCCACUCUAUUUUGGGCCAAGCCCAAAUUUCUCAUCGCCUUUUUUCGUGGGCCACCAGAAUCACAAUGGAGGCCCGCCAGCCACGAAUGGGGCAAGCCCAUCCAUCGCGAGAGAGCAGACGGGCGGUUCAAGCGAAUCGGGUACGGGGCAUAAUCCCUACCCGGGACAUGUCAAUGCGGGGUAUCUAGUUGGAUUGAGCGAAUCGGGUCAAGGGACGAAUCCCUACCCGAAUUUCGCACCGGGUUUUCUGUCCAUUCCAGCGGCGGCGUUCACUGGGCGACUAGAAAUAGGCGAUCCUCUGUUUGUCUCCACCGCUGACGGAUCGGAGCUUUGACUGAUAAACCAGCAACUAACCGGACUAGAGACCUAUUCGAAGUGGUCACAGGAGCUCCGGCGGGCAUUGGUGACAAAAGACAAAGACGGAUUUCUCGAUGGGACAAUUUCCAUCCCCUCCGAUGAACGCCUAGCCGGACACUGGCGGAAAUGCAAUCAACUCGUCCGAAUGUGGAUCAGAAAUUGCAUAUCCCCAGAAGUCAUGGCUGGGCUUCCACCCACAGAGGAUGCCAAAACCAUGUGGGAAAACAUUCGAGAAAUAUACGGUAAAAUGGAUCAAGCAAAAGUUUUUAAUCUUAUGCAGGAAAUUAGCGAACUCAAACAGGGAAAUUCGACGGUCACGGCCUGCUUCAACAGGCUAUCGUCCCUCCUGAAUCAACUCGAAGCAGUAGAAGAAAAGCUCGAAGGGCCAGAAUCUACCCUCAAGCAGUACAAACAAAUCAAAGAGAGAGAAAAAGCCACGCGAUUCUUGCUGAUUUUAAACGAAUCGUACCUCACGUUUCGGUCACAGAUCCUUGUCAUGGAUCCCAUGCCACCGAUCGGACGUAUUUACAAACUGGCGAUGCAGGAGGAGAGUCAGCGACUCACAAUCACGAACAACGGUGAGAGCAUCGCUCUGGCUGCCCGCGGAGAGGGGAGAACCCUAACCCUAGCUCGUGAAAAUGAAAAGAAAAGCCCUUUAGGGUUCGACGAGCUCGAUUCGCGCGGGCUUAAAAGGGAUGGGAUGAACGGCCAGGAUUACAUGCAAGGAUCGAGCGGCUUAGAUUACUCCCGAAAAUAUGACGGCCCAGAUUACGCAUGGAGAUCCGACGGUCGUCAAGGAAUCGAAAUUGCGCCUGGAUUGGACGGUGGACAGCAGAUCGCGAUCAAAGGAACGGACGGCCAGAUCUUCACCACGUCAUCAAAGAAUUUCGCAAAUUUUUUUAAAGGAAAGGGGUAAAUUUUUUUGCGAUUAUUGCAAACGUACUAAUCAUACCAUUGACAGUUGCUGGAAAUUACACGGGAAGCCGGGAGAAAAGGAGAAAAAAAUUUCCACAGCUUAUCAAGUCACUGGACCAGCUGGUCCAAAAAUUGACCAGCCAAUCUCAUAUGGUCAAUAUCAGCAACUCAUGCAAAAACUACAGAAGAUGGAAAUUUCCAACAAAGGGGGCAAUUUCUCAGGUAUUUCACAUUGCCUAAUUAAUUCCAUUUCCAGGAAGGCGUGGAUUAUAAUUCUGGGGCAAGUGACCAUAUUAUACGCGACAAGGGAUUUUUUUUUCAAAUAUAAAUGAAAGUUUGAAUUUUCCUGUCUCCGUACAAUUACCCAACGGAAAUGUUACUCAUGUCAAAGUGAUAGGAACAGUGAAUCUCAGUCCUCAGAUUAUUCUCUAGAAUGUGCUAUAUGUCCCAGAAUUCCAAUUCAACCUCAUAUCUGUGUCUCAAGUCUGCAAAGAGAACUCAUGCCGGGUAAUAUUCAAUGCUGACACAUGUUUAUUUCAGGCCCUUUCGACUGGAAGACAGAUGGACUUGGGUAAUCUUUCUGAAGGACUCUAUUUCUGGACGAGUUUUCCAAGUAAUUUCAAUUUUCCAUGCAAUUCCUUGAAUAAAAAAUCAUUGUGUAAUUCAACUGCCAAUGAUAGAAAUUUGACUAUGCAUAUGAGAUUGGGUCACAGUGCUUCAUUUUCAUAUCAUGAAUGUCUUAUAUGUCCCCUUGCAAAGCAAUCUCGCACACCAUUUUCUUCUAGUACUUCACGGACUAGUCAAAUAUUUGCAUUACUUCACGUGGACAUUUGGGGACCUUAUCAUACAGUCAAUCAUGAUGGCUCCCGUUAUUUUCUUACGAUAGUAGAUGACUAUUCUCGGGCAACAUGGAUCUUCCUAAUACAAUAAAAAAAUUAGGUCUAUUCUCACCUGAAAAAUUUCAUUAUGCUAUCUAAGAACCAAUUCAGGAAAUCCAUUCAGCGGAUUCGCACAGAUAACGGGAGAGAAUUCUUCAGUCAUGAAUGCUCCCAGUUAUUCAAUUCUCAUGGUAUUCGACACGAAAGUUCCUGCAUUUACUCACCACAACAAAAUGGAGUGGUUGAAAGAAAGCAUCGCCAUCUACUGGAAGUGGCUCGUGCCUUGAAAUUUCAAGCAUCAAUUCCAGAAAGAUAUUGGGGUGACUGUGUCACCAUAGCAGCUUAUCUUAUUAAUAGAAUGCCUACUCGGAUUCUUAAUGGACAGAUGCCAUUCGAGCUGUUAUUUGGGAAGAAACCGGACUUGAAUCAUCUCAAGAUCUUCGGAUGUCUCUGCUAUGCUGCAAUCAUGGGGCCUCGAGAUAAAAUGAGCCCAUGUGCGCGGCGAUGCGUCUUUAUGGGAUAUCCCAAUCUCCAGAAGGGGUAUCGGGUGCUUGAGAUUUCCACAGGAGAAUUCAUAGUAAGUCAUGAUGUCAUUUUCCAUGAAACUACUUUUCCAUUUUAUGAAGGGGAAUCUUCACAUGGAGAUCCAAAGAUAACUUCCAGCCAUCAUAAUUUUCUCAAUGAUGAAGCACCAUACCGGGAUCUUUCCUAUGUACCAAUAGUACAGCCGAGGGAUCCUAUUCUUCCUACAGUCCCAGUUCUACAAGAUUCUAAUGGAAAUUCGAAUUCUUCAGAACAUAUUCAGGGAGAUAUCUUGGAGGAACCCAUUGCUGAUGCAGAAGUUGAUGACACUACAACAACUUCAUUACCAGCAACAUCACAGCCCACCACCGAAGCUGGACAUCCUAGGAGGUCUGAACGAGCUACAAGACCACCAACCCGGACGAAAGAUUAUGUCUGUACUACUCACAACUCUCCAAGUAUUCAGUAUCCAGUCUCUUCAUAUGUUUCCUUUGAUAGAUUGUCUCAAGAACAUAGAUGUUGUAUUAGUCGAUUGUUUGAAGAGAAAGAACCGUCCAGUUAUAAAGAAGCCUCCAAUAACCCAAAAUGGCAAGAGACCAUGAAGGCAGAAUUGAAGGCCCUUACUGAUAAUCAUACAUGGGAUCUUGUUCCAUUACCAGCUCAUCGUAAACCAAUUGGAUGCAAAUGGGUUUACAAAAUCAAGUAUCGGGCUGAUGGCUCCAUUGAACGGUACAAGGCAAGAUUGGUAGCUAAGGGGUUCACCCAAAGAGAAGGUUUUGACUACCACGAGACGUUCUCACCAGUUGCCAAAGAUGUUACAGUCCGUUCAUUCUUAGCUGUUGCUGCCAUCAAUGACUGGCACCUACACCAGAUGGAUGUCCAUAAUGCUUUUCUCCAUGGCAAUCUAGAUGAAGAGAUCUACAUGAAUAUUCCUCAAGGCAUACAGAGACAGGGGGAUAAUAAGGUGUGUCGUCUCCGUAAAUCCCUUUAUGGAUUAAAACAGGCAUCCGGACAAUGGUAUGCUAAAUUUGCCAGUGCUCUUACAACAGCAGGCUUCAAGCAAUCCAAGCAUGAUUAUGCUCUGUUCUAAAAAACUAAAGGUAUGUCAUCUAUCUAUUUGAUGAUUUAUGUCGAUGACAUACUUGUUAUGGGAAAUGAUAGAGCCUCUAUAGAGAAUUUCAAGGAAUAUUUGCAUGCUACCUUCCAUAUUAAAGACUUAGGAGCACCAAAAUAUUUCCUUGGAAUCGAAGUUGCUCGAUCUGACAAGGGAAUUUCCCUUAGUCAGCGGAAGUUCAUUCUAGAAAUCAUAUCAGAAGUAGGUCUAUUAGGAUGCAAGCUAGCUGUAAUUCCUAUAGAGCAAAACACUAAGUUGACCAUCGCAGACUAUGAUAAGGGAAUAUUUCGAAAUGAUGAUUCCUUACUCAGUGAUCCGUCAGGCUAUCAAAGACUUGUUGGGAAACUUAUAUACCUGACAAUGACUAGACCUGAUAUCUUAUAUGCGGUUCAGACACUUAGCCAGUUUAUGCAUCAACCAAAGCGUUCUCAUUUGGAUGCAGCCUUAAAGGUCGUUAAAUAUCUCAAGAAAUGUCCGGGGCUAGGGAUACUUCUCUCUAAGGAAUGUGACAUGAGGAUGACAGCAUAUUGUGAUGCAGACUAUGCAACAUGUCCGAUUAGUCGAAGAUCUGUUACUGGAUAUUGCAUUAAAUUGGGAGGAUCUCUUCUAUCUUGGAAAACCAAGAAACAAGCUACUGUGUCUCUGUCCUCAGCCGAAGCAGAAUAUCGAGCUGUGGCCAAGGCCACUUGUCAAGUAGUUUGGAUGCGAGGAUUACUCAAGGAUCUUGGAGUAGAAGUGCAAGGACCCACAAGGUUAUAUUGUGAUAAUGAUACAGCUCUUAAACUUGCAACUAAUCCUAUAGUACAUGAAAGAACCAAGCAUAUAGAAGUGGAUUGUCACUUCACACGGGAAAAGAUCCAGGAAGGAGUAAUUGAGACGAGGAAUUUGGACAACGGAGCAACCAGUAGACUUGUUCACCAAGCCCCUAUGUCAGAGGCAACAUGCAUAUCUAUUAAAAAAGCUAGGCGUCUUGGACAUCUACAAGCCACCAGCUUGAGGGGGAGUGUUGGAAGAUAUGUGGAUUGCCUGAUUUGAUUUGAUCUUAAUUGAUCAUGAUUAAUCACGAUCUUCAUGUAUAUGUAAAUUAAAAAUUAGAUCUAGAUCUAGAUUGAUAGUCUAGAUCAUUUACUUCCUUAUUCAAGAUAGAGCUUGUAUUAUAUCUCUGCAGAAUUGUACAUUCAGAUUGUAAUAGUGAUAAUACAGAAAAAUCUCCCCACAUCGAUUCCCAUUUUCCUCUCUAAACUUCAUCCGUUCUUCCUUCACUCUUGCCUUCUUUCAGGGCAUAUCUACUUUGCCGGCCCUCCCAAGCCCAACCCCGACACGAUCGAGCUUGUCCACCACGCCGUUGAAUCUGGCGUUGCCUUCCUCGACACCUCCGACAUCUAUGGCCUUAACGCCAAGGAAGUCCUCCUUGGAAAGGUCGGUAUUUAUUUUGUAGAUAUAAUUGAAGAUCUUGAUCGUGACGCCAAUCCUAAUUGCGGACUAAUUGAUUUGGUCAAUUUGUGAUUGUUUAGUGAAUAUGGAAAUUUUUGUAAUUCUUUAUAUAUUAUUUCAUUUUUUCUCUUUCAUUCUUACACUAUAAAUAGACCAAUGAACUAAUAUACAGAUCAAUCAAUAUACAACAAAAUUUUCUUCAUUUUCUCUUUUGUUUUCUAUUAUGUUAUCAGUGUCAUUCUUCCUCGCCUAGCUUCCCAUAUCUUAGAGUUGCCUUUCUUUUUUUCUUUGUUUUUUUUUUUUUUUUGGUUAUUGCAAGUCCUCAUCCUGCAAUACAAAUCAGCAAAUCGAUUAGGAAUUCAAUUUUUUUUUUCAAUACCAAGGCAAAAAAUAAGAACACUGAGAGCUCCAUGAUAGAGGAGACACCUACCUCACCUCAAAAUCAAGCCCCAUCGCCGUCGGAUUCGAUUAUGAUUUGGGACAAUAUAUUUUAAUCAUUUCGAGAUAAUCUUUAACUGAUCAUGCUCUUCCAGAUACACAGCAAUUGCGCACUUCCAAAUGCUUAUUAUGUCAAGUAACAUGACAAUCUGAUGGCAUGCAACGCAACCAAUUUUGCACUCGUUGAUGUAGAAUUUGGCGUUAAAAGGAAAAUGAUGGUUGCUCGUAUGCUCUCUGCUUAGACAUUGCUUUAUGUUAUGAAGUACCUACCAAGGCUGCGGCCAGAGAACUUGGCUAAUGCAAAGUUAUUCGACCAAGUGAAUGAAAUUGCACAAAGAAAGGGAUGCACCCCAUUGCAGUUAACCCUCGCCUGGGUACACCACUGGAGUGAUGACGUUUGCCCGAUUACCGGCACGAUCAAGAUCGAGAAUUUCAACCAGAACAUUGGAGCUCUGUCAGUGAAGCUUUCGCCAGAAGAGAUGGCCAAGCUCAAAUCGAUUGCUUAUACGGACAAUGUCAGGCGUGAGAAUUAAAACCACAUUUGAUACUAAAUUAUGCCUAGGUAGGAAUUCAAAACUCCACCUCCCGCUUUUCAUGUGGGAAGGUUGGCCCCACCUCGCGCUUAUGGAAAGAGUAAUCACGAAGACAUCACAAUAGUUCAAUUGACGUGAGCAGGUACGUCUUCCCUACAUGGUAAGGGUCGUCACUGGGCGUGCAAUUGACGUAAGCACGUGCGUCUUCACAGCCACUACCGCUCCCCUCCUACUCAUCGUAGCUUCUGCCACUACCCUCCUAUAAAUCUCGGCUCGCCCGACGACUUCGCCAUCGUCUCGGUGCAGUGCAGGGAACGAUCGAGCUCGAGCUAGACUACGGCAAUGGCGGCAUCGACGACGACGGUGAGGAGGAUCAAGCUGGGGUCGCAGGGCCUGGAGGUGUCGGCGCAGGGGCUGGGCUGCAUGAGCAUGUCCGCCUUCUACGGCCCUCCCAAGUCCGAGCCCGACAUGAUCGCCCUCAUCCACCACGCCGUCGGCUCCGGCGUCACCUUCCUCGACACCUCCGACUUCUACGGUCCUCACACCAACGAAAUCCUCCUCGGAAAGGUCGUUCUCUCAGUCUCUCUUUUGCCUCUGCAUGAAUUAUAUAUGCUUAUGGUUUUACGGAACUUAGCUUCAUCGAGCAGGAUGCUCUGAUCCUGCGCCUUGGUUUUCUGAUUUCGGGGUUGAUUUUGAGCAGGCACUGAAGGGAGGGGUGAGGCAGAAGGUGGAAUUGGCGACCAAGUUCGGAAUCAGAUUGGCGGACGGGAAGAGGGAGAUCCAGGGCGAUCCGGCGUACGUGAGGGCUGCUUGCGAGGCCAGCUUGAAGCGGCUCGACAUCGAUUGCAUCGACCUCUACUACCAGCACCGUAUCGACACUCGCGUCCCCAUUGAAGUCACUGUAUGGAUCCCUUAUCAAACUUUCACCUCGCUUGAGACUUUCUCUGAGCCAUACGAUGCAUCGUCAUGUUGUUACAAGUUUGUUGAAUUUUGUUAAAUGACACUUAAGUUCAGCUGAUAGCAGAGUUCAAGAUGCGGCACGGUGUUGUUCAAGGGUUGUGGAAUUUAGUAGUUUAGUGGCUUGAGUUUUCGUUUUGUGGGAAUCUUUUACAAGUUAAGGGUCAACAAGCAUGGAAAUUAUUCGAAAUCUUCCUUUGAGAUGAAAGUGCUCCGGGGUUCAUCCUGAAUUUAUAUACGGGAAUCACAUAUAAAGUUGUUCCUGGACUUUAUACGGAGACAUUUGAUUCUUGACAUAUUGUGAAAUAUGACAAGUACUUGGAAUACUUCUUUUAUUUGCUCUCUUCUGUGAGAGAUUCAAGAAAUCUACCUCCGUUAACUCAAUUCCUUGUGGGUUUUUUGUCGCAUUGAGAUGCAUGAUAAUUGAGGGAUCUAGACACAAAAAGCUAAUGACAAAAAUAAUUUUCUGGAUCUUAACAUGUAAGAUCUUGAUGUUGUUGUUCUGUCAUGUGAAUAUGCACAGAUCGGAGAGCUAAAGAAGCUCGUUGAAGAGGGUAAGAUAAAGUACAUCGGUUUAUCCGAGGCCUCUGCAUCAACAAUCAGAAGAGCACAUGCUGUUCAUCCCAUCACAGCAGUGCAAUUGGAGUGGUCGCUUUGGUCCAGAGAUGUGGAGGCGGACAUCGUUCCAACGUGCAGGUAGGAUAUCACUCCGUUAAUUGUUUAUGCAGCAACAACAGCUUCCUUCUGACUCUGCUUUUCCUUUAAAAUGUUGACUAGGGAGCUUGGCAUUGGAAUUGUUGCCUACAGUCCUUUAGGACGAGGAUUCUUUUCUGUUGGCUCCAAGUUGGCGGAGAAUUUCUCAAAGGAUGACUUCAGACAGGUCUGUUUCUGCUGGUCGACAUAAUUAGAUGCUCACAGUGACUGUCAUUCUCAUUGAAGUGCUGGAAACCUGUUCUUGUGGUAUAAAGAAAAGUUUCUGGAUGGGAUGAAUAAAACUUGGUGACACAAAUGCAUCACGUUCUUAUAUGUCUUCAAUCCAGCACUCGCCAGACAUACUACCUCUCUCGAUUCUAGAUAAAUGUAAAAUCACAAGUAAUGGCUUUAGUGAGCCUGAAAGAGGUAGGUUCCCGGAUUCUCAUUCUUUUGGGAAUGAAUACAUAUAGGUUUAUAUGUAAGUUGCUCUGUUUCCCAGCCUUCCCAACAUUUGCUUAUCACUAUCCUUUCCCCACUUUCCACCCACCCUUUUUCUCUCAUCUUUCUUCACAAGAUUAGCGAUAUUUCCUCGAAAUAACUGACGCCAGUAUCGGGCUCUGGCCUUCCGUCCUUUUUCAUUCUCAUCUUUCUUCACAAGAUAAACUAUAUCUUGACACAACCAUUUCUUGAGUGAGGACUCACGACACCCUUCUUAUGAGAGUUUUGGAUCAAGUUCCCAUCUGACAUAAAGCCAAUUGUGUAUUACUCCCUGCCAUUAGCGUUUGACUAGCGAUAGCGCUGGGCAAGUGAAGUAGCUAUUUUUCUUUGUAGCUAAAAGAGCUCUGCGUCUGAUAACAUUCUUCUACACAUCAUCUACAUUUCUGAUUUUUUAUUUUAUGUGUGACUAAUGGUAUCAUCACACGUACAAAACUUAGAUUGUCGAGUUUGUUUCUGUUUUCACAUCCUACAUCAAGCCCAUCAGCCUUGUGUGGUAGUUGCUAGAUCACUUCGCUUGACGUUUCUAAUGCUUAUGAUUUGGGACAUGAUAUUUUAAUCAUUUCAAGAUUAUUUAUAACUGAUCAUGCUUAUCCAGAUAGACAACGAUUGCACACUUCUAAAUGCUUAUUAUGUCAAGUAACAAGACAAUCUGAUGGCAUGCAAUGCAACCACUUUUGCACUUGUUGCUGUAGAAUUUAGCCUUAAAAGGAAAAUGAUAAUUGCAAUUGCUUUCUGCUGAGACAUUGCUCUAUGUUAUGCAGUAUCAUCCAAGGUUCCAGCCAGAGAACUUGGCUCACAACACGAAGUUAUUUGACCGAGUGAAUGAAAUUGCGCAAAGAAAGGGAUGCACCCCAUCUCAGUUAGCCCUGGCCUGGGUACACCACCAUGGUGACGACAUUUGCCCGAUUCCCGGCACAACCAAGAUCGAGAAUUUCAACCAGAACAUUGGAGCUCUGUCAGUGAAGCUUACACAGGAAGAGAUGGCCGAGCUUGAAUUGAUUGCUUCUGCGGACAAUGUCAAGGGUGGCAGGUAUGAUGGAAGCAUAUCUACAUGGGAAAACUCCGACACUCCACCCCUUUCUUCUUGGAAACCUGCCUAGAAGCGUGUCUGCUUCUGUUGCUGCAUCUUUGAUGUGCAGAGUUUGAGCAUUUGCCGCUGAAGUAAUUUGAGUUGAUGUUGUGUGGCUGUUAUAAGUAUGUGUAAUAAGAGAGUGACUGUUUUCAUUUUGUACAUGUGACAUUCACUAUGAGAAGAUUAUGGAUGUGUACUAACCUUACUGGGGAAAGAUCACUCGAUAAACACGAGAGCGAGUUGAAUAUGAACUGAGCCUGCCUUGUCGACUUUAUGGGGUGACUUUUAGAAUCAAUUGGGAUUUUGAAGAAUUCAAACUCAGUCGUACAUACCGCUGGAAAUAUGGCUUCGAAAUUGGGUAGAACAAUGAAAUCGGAUCGAGUAAAAUAACUCGGACUUUGAGGCGCGAUAUCACUUUCUUUAAGGAUUUAUUUACCCCACAACGUUGCUAAUGGUCACCAGCAAAAAUCCUCCAGGAUACAACAAAGUCUCGGAUGAGAAUACUAGAUAGCAAUUCAAGUAUUUCUCCAGGGUCUCUCUAAGAAACAAUCGAAAAAUUGGAUGCUGUUUUUCAGAAAGGAAUACUCGAAAAUGACACUCUUUUUCUUUCCGAAAAUGAUAGAUAUAUAUAUGAAACAGUCUUGCNNNNNNNNNNNNNNNNNNNNNNNNNNNNNNNNNNNNNNNNNNNNNNNNNNNNNNNNNNNNNNNNNNNNNNNNNNNNNNNNNNNNNNNNNNNNNNNNNNNNUUUUUUUUUUUUAUUUCUUAUUUUUGUUCCAAAGUUGCUCUCACAAUAAAAAAAAAAAAGACCAGAAUAAAAGUAUAAACAAAUGAGUUUCUGUUCUUUUUUGGUUCUCUAGAACAAAAUAAUAAAAAUUUAUAUUUCGGGAAAAAAAAUAAUUUUAAAUGAACACACCCUAAGAUAUCUUUUGUAUUCCGGGGAAGUAGUUCAAUUGACGUGAGCCCGUGCGUCUUCCCUACAUGGGAAGGGUCGUCGCUGGGUCUCAUCUGACCUAAGCAAGCGCGUCUUCACAGCUAUUACCGCUCCCCUCCUACACUUCGUAGCUACCGCCACUCCCCUCCUAUAAAUCUCGGCUCGCCCGACGCCUUCGCCAUCGUCUCGGUGCAGUGCAGGGAACGAGCGAGCUCGAGCUAGACGACGGCAAUGGCGGCUUCGACGACGACGGUGAGGAGGAUCAAGCUGGGGUCGCAGGGCCUCGAGGUGUCGGCGCAGGGGCUGGGCUGCAUGAGCAUGUCCGCCUUCUACGGCCCUCCCAAGUCCGAGCCCGACAUGAUCGCCCUCAUCCACCACGCCGUCGGCUCCGGCGUCACCUUCCUCGACACCUCCGACGUCUACGGUCCUCACACCAACGAAAUCCUCCUCG